AGAGUUUGAUCCUGGCUCAGGAUGAACGCUAGCUACAGGCUUAACACAUGCAAGUCGAGGGGCAGCAUGGUCUUAGCUUGCUAAGGCUGAUGGCGACCGGCGCAUGGGUGAGUAACACGUAUCCAACCUGCCGUCUACUCUUGGCCAGCCUUCUGAAAGGAAGAUUAAUCCAGGAUGGGAUCAUGAGUUCACAUGUCCGCAUGAUUAAAGGUAUUUUCCGGUAGACGAUGGGGAUGCGUUCCAUUAGAUAGUAGGCGGGUAACGGCCACCUAGUCAACGAUGGAUAGGGGUUCUGAGAGGAAGGUCCCCACAUUGGAACUGAGACACGGUCCAAAUCCGUACGGGAGGCA
rnacentral:rRNA from 1 species